AGGAUGAACGCUGGCGGCGUGCCUAACACAUGCAAGUCGAACGAAGCACUCAGGAGCGAUUUCGAUCAAUCCUGUUUGACUGAGUGGCGGACGGGUGAGUAACGCGUGAGGAACCUACCUUACAGUGGGGAAUAACAGUUGGAAACGGCUGCUAAUACCGCAUAAUGCAAAGAGACCGCAUGAUCUUUUUGUCAAAGAUUUAUCGCUGUAAGAUGGCCUCGCGUCUGAUUAGCUAGUUGGUGGGGUAAAGGCCCACCAAGGCGACGAUCAGUAGCCGGACUGAGAGGUUGACCGGCCACAUUGGGACUGAGAUACGGCCCAGACUCCUACGGGAGGCAGCAGUGGGGAAUAUUGGGCAAUGGGCGAAAGCCUGACCCAGCAACGCCGUGUGAAGGAAGAAGGCUUUCGGGUUGUAAACUUCUUUUAACAGGGACGAUAAUGACGGUACCUGUUGAAUAAGCUCCGGCUAACUACGUGCCAGCAGCCGCGGUAAUACGUAGGGAGCAAGCGUUAUCCGGAUUUACUGGGUGUAAAGGGCGUGUAGGCGGGACUACAAGUCAGAUGUGAAAAUUAUGGGCUCAACCCAUAACCUGCAUUUGAAACUGUGGUUCUUGAGUGCUGGAGAGGCAAAUGGAACUCCUAGUGUAGCGGUGAAAUGCGUAGAUAUUAGGAAGAACACCAGUGGCGAAGGCGAUUUGCUGGACAUUAACUGACGCUGAGGCGCGAAAGCGUGGGGAGCAAACAGGAUUAGAUACCCUGGUAGUCCACGCCGUAAACGAUGGAUACUAGGUGUGGGAGGUAUUGACCCCUUCCGUGCCGGCGUUAACACAAUAAGUAUCCCACCUGGGGAGUACGGCCGCAAGGUUGAAA
rnacentral:rRNA from 1 species